GGUAGAGUGGCUUAGUGGUAGAGUGCUUGCCUAGCAUGCAUGAAAGCUUGGGUUCAAUUCCUCAGUACCA
rnacentral:tRNA from 1 species